UUUAACUGAUUUUUGUGUUUCCGUAAUAUUUUCAAAAACUCCUGCUUUUCACUAUCACUGAGUGCCUCUAGGACUGCUACAACAACAAACGCACCGUCUCCAGAAGCCCACUCUACAAGAUAUUUUUUAAUGAUAACAAUUAGCUUAGAGGCCACCUUCAGGUCAUCUUCCGCUUUUACAACUUGUUUCUCAGCACCACUCCAAUGUCCAUUUUGGACUAAUGUCUUCAACGCGCGCGAACAAUGAAUUUGAUGAAUCAAGUGGUUAUCCUGCUCUGG